CAGCAGCCGCGGGAACACGUAGGGUGCGAGCGUUAAUCGGAAUUACUGGGCGUAAAGCGGGCGCAGACGGUUACUUAAGCAGGAUGUGAAAUCCCCGGGCUCAACCUGGGAACUGCGUUCUGAACUGGGUGACUAGAGUGUGUCAGAGGGAGGUAGAAUUCCACGUGUAGCAGUGAAAUGCGUAGAGAUGUGGAGGAAUACCGAUGGCGAAGGCAGCCUCCUGGGAUAACACUGACGUUCAUGCCCGAAAGCGUGGGUAGCAAACAGGAUUAGAUACCCCUGUAGUCCCUGUCUCUUAUAC
rnacentral:rRNA from 1 species